GGAUUGAGAACACGUACAACCUUAUCGAUAAACAAUUGGAGGGCAAGUCUGGUGCCAGCAGCCGCGGUAAUUCCAGCUCCAAUAGCGUAUAUUAACGUUGUUGCAGUUAAAAAGCUCGUAGUUGAAAUGAAGGGUAGUUGUGUAAUGAAUACAUUCGUGUAUUUUGUUAUUCUACUACCCUCCUUCUAAAUUCGAUAUAUGAGUAUUAAUUUACUUGUAUAUGGUUUUAGACCUUUACUGAGAGAAAAUUAUAGUGUUCAAAGCAGGCAUUUGCUUGAAUAUAUAAGCAUGGAAUAAUCAUGUCUGAUUUUCAUGAUGUAUUUGAUUGGUUUGGUUCAUGAGAAUAAUAUUAAAAGGGACAGCUGGGGGUAUUCAUAUUCAAUAGUCAGAGGUGAAAUUCUCGGAUUCAUGGAAGAUGAACAAGUGUGAAAGCUUUUACCAAGGAUGUUUUCAUUCAUCAAGAACGAAAGUUAGGGGAUCGAAUAGGAUUACAUUGCCUCUCCCUCUAAA
rnacentral:rRNA from 1 species